UGAUGAUGGUGAGGGCAAUUUCUGAUCAUACCCUUAAAUUUCUCCCAAGGCUGGUAGAGAUUCUCUUCUUCUUUCUGUAUGAAACUCAGAAUCUCACUUGUUAAACG
rfam:Capsicum annuum cultivar Zunla-1 chromosome 6, whole genome shotgun sequence